AGGAUCACGUGGUCAACGCUAUUUUGGCCAUUAGUAACACUCUAGGUCUACUAAUUGGGAUAUUGCUAGUAACAAUUUUGCGCUCACCUACAUGGGCUCUCUCUUCAUUAAUAACGGGAUCGUGGGUUUUUGGGCUUGCCUGUAUACUUGCACAGAAACACAAUUUAAAAGUCCACAAAGGAGUAAGUCUGGCACCAGCAUUACUUUCCUCUGGGCAAAACUGGAUUGGUGCUGAUGAAGUUGCAAUGGAAAAGUCUACCAAAGACAAAAUGCUGCUCGCCGCCAA